AUCCUGGCUCAGGAUGAACGCUAGCUACAGGCUUAACACAUGCAAGUCGAGGGGCAUCACAGUGUAGCAAUACACGGGUGGCGACCGGCGCACGGGUGCGUAACACGUAUCCAAUCUGCCCGUUACUCGGGGAUAGCCUUCUGAAAGGAAGAUUAAUACCCGAUGGCAUGCAUUUCCGGCAUCGGAGAUGCAUUAAAGAUUUAUCGGUGACGGAUGAGGAUGCGUACGAUUAGCUUGUUGGCGGGGUAACGGCCCACCAAGGCUACGAUCGUUAGGGGUUCUGAGAGGAAGGUCCCCCACACUGGAACUGAGACACGGUCCAGACUCCUACGGGAGGCAGCAGUGAGGAAUAUUGGUCAAUGGGCGGGAGCCUGAACCAGCCAAGUAGCGUGAAGGAUGACUGCCCUACGGGUUGUAAACUUCUUUUGUUUGGGAAUAAAAGACGCUACGUGUAGCGUUCUGCAUGUACCUUACGAAUAAGCAUCGGCUAAUUCCGUG
rnacentral:rRNA from 1 species